CGUGUACACUCCUACGGGAGGCAGCAGUGGGGAAUAUUGCACAAUGGGCGCAAGCCUGAUGCAGCCAUGCCGCGUGUAUGAAGAAGGCCUUCGGGUUGUAAAGUACUUUCAGCAGUGAGGAAGGCGGGUACGUUAAUAGCGUGCUUGUUUGACGUUAGCUGCAGAAGAAGCACCGGCUAACUCCGUGCCAGCAGCCGCGGUAAUACGGAGGGUGCGAGCGUUAAUCGGAAUUACUGGGCGUAAAGCGCAUGCAGGUGGUUUGUUAAGUCAGAUGUGAAAGCCCGGGGCUCAACCUCGGAAUUGCAUUUGAAACUGGCAGACUAGAGUACUGUAGAGGGGGUAGAAUUUCAGGUGUAGCGGUGAAAAUGCGUAGAGAUCUGAAGGAAUACCGGUGGCGAAGGCGGCCCCCUGGACAGAUACUGACACUCAGAUGCGAAAGCGUGGGGAGCAAACAGGAUUAGAUACCCUGGUAG
rnacentral:rRNA from 1 species